CGGCCACUUUAGGGGUGUUUAUGCCCAAGGGCAUAAGCUGAGAUGAUACCCUCAGUACCUGAAGCAGUUCAUACUGCCGUAGGGAAAAGUAAACUGAAACUU
rnacentral:ncRNA from 1 species